UCUUAUAGCCAUGCCACCCUGAACAAGCCCGAUCCCGUCUGAUCUCGGAAGUUAAGCAGGGUCGGGCCUGGUUAAUACUUGGAUGGGAGACCACCUAGGAAGACCAGGUGCUGUAGGCG
rnacentral:rRNA from 1 species